GGCUAUAGCUCAGUGGCAGAGUGCUUGCCUAGCAUGCUUCAGGCACUGGGUUCGAUCCUCAAUACCA
rnacentral:tRNA from 1 species